AUCAGGCUGUAGGGCUCCAGCAGGGCUUCGUCGCACUGGUGGGUCCAGUCCUGCAACACCGGGUGCAAGGGGCCUUCCAGCAGGGCAACCAGAUGCUCGACCUGCUGCGUCAGGUGGAUUC
rnacentral:sRNA from 1 species